AUGCGAAACGUAAAAUUACAGAAAACGUCGAGGCUGUGCAAUCGCCAUUUUGACGAUUCUGACAUUGUCAAAGGGUACGAUAUUCUAGGUUUGUUUCAUCCUUUCAGCCACUGAAGAUUACGUGCAGGUUCAAAUCCUAAGUAUCAUCUCGAAGUUGGCAUUGAACAACCAAAAGUAAGGAAAAAAAACUUUGCAAGAUGUGACUUAUGCUACCAAUCUACCGGUUUCCACACUACACAUGUUGGCAAAUGUUCCUAUAACUGUCAACCAGCCCCCUCUGGAAAGGUCUCGUGUGAGUAAAUUGAAAAGGUCUCGUGUGAGUAAAUUACUCGCUACUGAGAGGAGUAAAGUGCUACAGCUUGUGAACCUGUAUGGUGUAGCUGUCAAUGAACACGGUGUUUCUCAACCAGUCACAGUCAUUCCUACUCACCAACUUCUCAAAGUCGCUUCUUCUCUUCCACCACAGUCGCUUCGUACUGCUUCCACAUCUUUUGAUUUAUUGGUCGAGUACAUUGAGCCAGUAACACCCAAGAAGACGGUGAUAUCUCAUUUUGAUAAGCAAGCUGCCGAACAGUCCCAGAACGAAGGUGUUGAUCAGAUGCCGAAUGUCCUGCAACCGAUGGCUCAAGUUGCACAGGAACUGAUCCAGCCUACGAUGGAAUCUCUUGAUGAUGAGCAAGCUGACCAACCACCCCAAAACGAAGAUGGUCAAAUUCCAUACGUCCAGCAACCGAUGGCUCUUGUAAUAGAGGAACUGAUCCAGCCUACGAUGGAAUCUCUUGUUGAUGAGCAACAACCAACUCUGGUUAAUUUCACUGAUAAAGAGACUUUUGGUUGGAAUAUUCAAUUUCAAGGAUCACAAGAAUGGACUUGGUCAUUCACUAAUAGCCUUCUGUUGUGUACUACCAAUCACUUGUCAAUGCCCAAAGGUUGUUACGUUCGUAACGAGUACGCUGGGCUAGAAAGAGGCAAUUAA